CCCUUAGAUGUUCUGGGCCGCACGCGCGCUACACUGAUGAAUUCAACGAGCUCCUAACCUAGGCCGAAGGGUCCGGGUAAUCUUUGAAAUUUCAUCGUGAUGGGGAUAGAUUAUUGCAAUUAUUAAUCUUCAACGAGGAAUUCCUAGUAAGCGCGAGUCAUCAGCUCGCGUUGAUUACGUCCCUGCCCUUUGUACACACCGCCCGUCGCUCCUACCGAUUGAAUGGUCCGGUGAAAUGUUCGGACCGCGACAAGGCGGACGGUUCGCUGUCAGCUUUGCUGCGGGAAGUUCAUUAAACCUUAUCACUUAGAGGAAGGAGAAGUCGUAACA
rnacentral:rRNA from 1 species